GAUGAACGCUGGCGUCAUGCUUAACACAUGCAAGUCGGACGGGAAACACGGGAUACGGUGUUUCCAUUGGCGGACGGGUGAGUAACUCGUAAGAACCUGCCCUUUGGAUGGGAACAACAGCUGGAAACGGCUGCUAAUACCCCGUAGGCUGAGGAGCAAAAGUAGGAAUCCGCCCGAGGAGGGGCUCGCUUCUCAUUAGCUAGUUGGUGAGGCAAUAGCUUACCACGGCGAUGAUCAGUAGCUGGUCCGAGAGGAUGAUCCGCCACAGUGGGACUGAGACACGGAGACGACUACUAGGGGAGGCAGCGGUGGAGAAUGUACAGCGAUCGGAGGAAGGAUGAAGGAGCAAUGCGGCGUGGAGGUAGGACGCCCAGGGGUAGUGCACUUCUUUUCCCGGAGAAGAAGCAAUGACGGUAACUGGGAAAUAAGCAUCGGCUAACUCCGUG
rnacentral:rRNA from 1 species